AAGAGAUCCAACCCGUCAGAACCAGAGAAGACCGUGGUGAUGAGGGUCCUGAGAGACAUGAACCUCUCCAAACUGGUGGACGAGGACGAGCCUCUGUUCAUGAGUCUCAUCAACGAUCUGUUUCCUGGUAUCGUUCUGGAUAAAGCCGGAUAUCCCGACCUGGAGGCGUCCAUCUGCAGUCAGGCUCAGCAGGCCGGUCUGAUCCCUCACCCGCC